GACGAACGCUGGCGGCGUGCUUAACACAUGCAAGUCGAGCGGUAAGGCCCUUUCGGGGGUACACGAGCGGCGAACGGGUGAGUAACACGUGGGUGACCUGCCCUCAGCUCUGGGAUAAGCCCGGGAAACGUGGGUCUAAUACCGGAUAUGACUCCAUGACGCAUGUUGUGGGGUGGAAAGCCUUGUGCGGCUGAGGAUGGGCCCGCGGCCUAUCAGCUUGUUGGUGGGGUGAUGGCCUACCAAGGCGACGACGGGUAGCCGGCCUGAGAGGGCGACCGCCACACUGGGACUGAGACACGGCCCAGACUCCUACGGGAGGCAGCAGGUGGGGAAUCUCGCGCAAUGGGCGAAAGCCUGACGCAGCGACGCCGCGUGA
rnacentral:rRNA from 1 species